UAUCUCGACUCCUAAAUCAGUGGUCCACCUGUGCGCUUCUGAAAUUCCACGAGGAAUGUAUGUAUGUGUGGGUUAAUGGAACACGUGUCAUCGUAUGUAGGAAGGUGAUGCUCAUUUCCUCUCCUGUGCACACUUUGUCGAGUGAUCUCGAGCAGGUCCAGUGACAGGUCAACGCUACCUUGGACAUAGAAGAGGAUCCUGAUGAGUAACAUGCAUUCUAGUAUGUACAUGUUUGGCAGGCCUUUGUGGGAUUCAGUAUACAUAUAAACGUACACCUGAUUCAUCCAGGUGGUAAGUGUACAGGUCUGUCACUGUAUUUACUCGAACUUUGAAGACGGUGGCUUGGACAGCCGGGGGCCCGUGUGUGUUUUGACUUCUAAGUACCUAUUCUCCAACAAUAUGACUGCUGUGAAUUUUUACCUGGGGUUGUGUGUGUUCCUGGGGGUCAUCGAGUCUGGUGUGGUUAGAGGGAACGAUGUCGGAUCAUGUGAUAUACCUGCAGACUCUGCUGCGACGCCGGAGGCCAAUAAAAGUCCACUGCGGUUUACCAUAUCGGAACUGAAGAGUGAGCCGGUCUUUGCUUUACCACCGAUGGGCAUUGAGAGUCACUUAUACACUGUGAGACACUGU